CUGGCAUUCACUGUCGACUUCCAAAAUUGGUUUUCGCACACGUCAAUCUCCUAAAGUGAACAAAUUUGACUCAAGUUUCUCUGUAAGGCUUAAGAAUUAGCCCCUUUAUGAACAUUGCUACUACAUCAGCACUAAACUGUCAAACUUACAAGAGACUGGGUGAGCUUCAACUUCAUUUAAUCUUCUUCUUUCUCCCUUAUUUUUAUUAUUUAUUUAUAUCUUUACAAAGGGAGCGCAAAAUAGCUCAAAGCUAUGAUUUACAUUCCCAAACUAGGUAGCAUAGCAUGUAAUGGAAAGCAUAGAGGGUAGUUUUGCAGCAAAUAGUUGCUCCAUUGUAAGUUCAUAGGUUCAAGCUAGAACAGUAGUCUGCUCUUGGUUGUCUAUCUUAUCAGGCCUUUCUUGCUUCUUUUCCUCAUCCACCUUAAUUUCUUCUUUCUCCAAAAUUCUGUUGUUGCAUUGGAUGAUCUCUGUCGCCCAUGCACGUAGCUUCCCAGUGGAUUCCUCAUCAAGUCUUGGGACAGUGUGGCCGUGUGGGUGCCUUAUGAUAAGAGGGUUAUCAAAGGCAGUGGCAAGCUCCUCAGAAGGCAAUCUCAACCAGUCCUUGGCUCCUAAAAAAUGAACGGACUUCACCUUGAUAGUGUCCUUGUAAGCAACUUCAAAUAUUCUUGGAUCUCUGAACUUUGUCCCUGAUAUUGAUACAAACAAUUUCAAAGGUGGAAGUUCCUUCAACACUUUUCCCUGAAUUUGGUAGCCAAUCAACAGAGCUGAGAGUGUUGCUCCCUGAGAGAAGCCAAGCAAACCAUCAAAAGGGCCAUUGCUUGUGAUGUAUUCACACAAAUAAGAGAUGCAUUCUUCAAGAUUUGUAUACUCUGUGAAGUCCUCAUUGUACUGGAACCACUCAAAGUAGGGUGGUGGGAAGAUGCCUUCUAUGUCAGAUUUGCCUUUAGCAGGGAAAAUUCCAUCUGGGAAAUCGAAGUCAAAUUGAUGGAAAAUGGAAAAUAGAAGGAUCCCAUUUGCUAAUUUGCUUCUUGAGGAAACUUCCGCUGGUUCUAAAUCCAUGAAGGCAUAGUAUUUUCAUUUUCUUUUCAUUUUGGAAUACCAUCUUUUUUUUUCUAAGCCAAGAAGAAGAAGAAGAA
rnacentral:misc_RNA from 1 species